rnacentral:lncRNA from 1 species
AGACCUUGACAGUUGUAACCGAUAGACUGGGCUGGGGCAAUGCUGAUGAAAGGCAAAUUCCUGAGAGAAAAAUCACCCAGAUUUUUCAGUGCCUUCUCUAGCUUUCUGGAAGUUGUUAUGAGUGGACCUGACUACCUAGAGAGAGUAAUACAGAAGCUCCCUGCCGAUCACAGCUACCUCAUUACCAUGUUCCUCCAAGAUGGCCGCCCCUGAGGAGAAUCAUCAACUGGGCUUUACGGAAGAGAGAAAUCCAAACGACCAUCAGCAACAAAUGAAAGACUGAAGUUGAAAGGAAAUCCAUAAUUUUUGAAUGCUGGCUGAGGUCUGUGACCUCUGACUGAAUGGUUUCCAAGCUCCGAAUUCCUAGGUGAUGUUUUCAUUUGUUCACAGUUGCUGAAGAAGGGAAAGGCUCUCUGAUUUACGUGUAAGCAAAACAAUCUAAACAGUAGGAUAAAAUCAUGUUGGAAUGGAGUUCUGUGUGGAUGCUCCUUUGAACCAAAUCAGUUCCACAACUGACCCUGUCAGGGACAUAUAAAUUUAGCAUUUUGGUGUGGAUACAGAAGACGAGAUUAACACAGAUCAAGUAACAUGGAAAUAAAAAAGGAGACAAUGCUGGAUGAUACAGGGGCAGCAACAAGAGGAGAAAACCCAAGCAUUGGCAAAUGCCUCAUUAUCCAAAGAACACUGAGGUGUGCAGCAAAACUGUGUUGAAUGAACUGUAGAUGGAAAUUCUCUCCUUCCCACCGAGGAGCCGCUGCAGGUUGCAGACUCCCAGAAUGCCACACUGAGAAGAGGAGGGCUAAAAUUCUAGAGCAGAAUCCCUGGGGCAGCCCCUGCUGAAGAAGGGUGCAUCUGUUGAGAAUCUCAUCACCGCCCCCACCCCGCCCAGCCUUCAAUUUAGAGGAAUUUCUAGUUCACGCAGAAUGAAGACAAGAUCACAUAAGUGAGGACGACGCCCCAUUUACAAGUGUGGUUUGGAAGACUGAAGUGGAAACCUUGGGAAGGGGCCUCAGAGUAUGUCAGCUGGGGUCAGACGGGAACAGGAGUCUGGCUCAACACACAUUUAUUGCACUCCUGCUUCAUGCCAAGAAAUGCACCAAAAUCUGGGACUGUGUAACACAGCAAAGGAAAAGACUCAUCUCCAGGAAGCCCCCUUGUCUAGGAAGAGAAAUUGAAUAUCAGCAUAAGGUGGUGAAAAGCUAUGAAGGAGAUGAGU